CUGACUUCCAGUAGAGAGUGAACUGAAAUCAGAAAGUGGAAUAUAAUGCAUAAGAAGGAUAACCACAGGUUGGAGGCAAAUGAACUGUCCAGACCCCAGGGGCCCUGGACCUCACGUAAGCUUCUAUACAUCACCCAUGAGUGUGAACUUCAACCUGGUUGCAGUAACUGGAUGAGAGCUCGAGGCCGUACUACCUGGGAAAGGGAAUGAGCAUAUCACAUGUAGAACCAAUAAUGUGAAGGGUAAACUCAAGGCCUAGAAGCACAUCAGCCCCCAGCAACCGUGAGGACAAAAGCUGCACUAAGGAGGGGGCGCACAAAGGACGAGUGGCCGGAGGGGACGACGGCACCAUGCUGCCACUGCGGCAGCUCUGAGCUGACCUUGCUGGACUUGAGAGAGAAAAGAAACCACCAAGUCGGGACUCUCUGUGACUUGCAGCAGAACCCAAUGAAAACUGGCACACAUCUUCACACUUACCAGCUGCGUAAGCUGGGAAAGUUACAGAAUUACUGUGACUCAUUUUUCUCAUACAGAAAACGAGAAUAAUAGUAAUAAGCCACAGAGUUGGGAAUAUUAAAUAUGAAAAUCUACAUGAAGGA